rnacentral:lncRNA from 1 species
UGGUACCAAAUUUCUAUAAGGUUUUUGUAAUUAUGUUUAUGUUAGAAGGUUUAGAUGCCAUACUCUGCAUGGACUGUUACUAAAAGAAAUUUCCGUUGUUCUUAGGUACUAAUCAGGUUAAUGACGCCGCCGAAUAGCUGUCGUUGGCUAUAAUGUGAUUAGGUACCAAUCCUGUUAUUAAAGCUGUUAUGGUAUAUGCUGCUGCUACAUAAUUAUACUCUUAUGUGGUCAGCCAAGUGUUCUUCUAGAUCUACCUUUGUGUAAUGUAUAACUGAAGUACGACCAUUUUCUUGCAUAAACUAAGCAUACUAGGAAGAAUACAAUGCCAAAAUAACUGUUAAAAUUUUGUGCGGCAAGAGUAAAUUGCCUUUUCUGUGCUUCAGAGUAGAUUGCUACAACAGAAUGUUCACAGUCACUAUUCCAAGUUUUUUGUGUGUCAGCCUGUCAGGCCUUAAGAGUAAAUUGCCUUUUCUGUACAUUCUGUUUGGCCGUUUGUUUGUUCUUGUGGCUUCCAAAAAAGAACCCUGGAAUGUUUGUUCUGCCAGGGCAGCUCUCUUUGGCUAGGACAUUUUGGCUAAAAAAACAUAAAUGAACCUAAAAUGUAUUAAUAUUUUAUAUCACUUUUUGUAUUGAUGUCCUUCAUGCAUGCUCAUCUACCAAGAGGUCAAUCCAAUAAUGCCACGCGCUCUUCAUCAGGCGCCAAGCCCUCCGAUGCCCAGCCGUGCGCUGUUGUCUCUGCCUGAAGAAGGAUUAUGGUCCUCCACCUCUCUGCUACUCGUAUUAAAAUUCCGGUGUGUUCUUUCUUUCUUUAUUUUCUGUCAACAAAAAGGUGAACCUGUUCUUAAUUUCCCAUAAUGAUUUCAAUGGAAAUUUGUGAGUGUAUUUCUAGCUGGAAUUGCAUGUAUAUCUUACAAAUUUACAUAGCAACAAAUUAAUAAGGAGAAUAGAAGCAUUUGCGUCCAUCUAACAUAUUUGUAUGGUAUUUUAAAAAAAGCUCAAGGUUAGAGAUAUGGCGCUGUAUGAGGCUAUCAUUAGGAUGGAAAAUAAAUUAAUGUUAAAAUAUUGCUUGAGUUUCCUUCAUUCUGUAAACCGCAAUACAAGCUAUGUUUGCGCAAUGAUUCUAUUCCAAUUUUUUUUAACAACUGGCAAUUAACAACACAUCAAAUGUUCUGUAUUGAAAUGGAUCAUUUUGUCAGGUUGGGUUUAGUAGGUCAUAAUGGUUUUAUUCCACGACAGGGUUAAUUUUGUUUAUAUUGUAACCAGUUCAGGUAAUACAGGGGAAAACAACAUUUUUUUGGUUCGUUUGGUAAGAAUAGUCGGGUAAUGAUCUUAAUGAAACACUGCAUUUGUUUGAUACAAGUCGCUGGUACAAUUUGCACCUGGCAAUAAAAUUGUAACACUAUCUAUUUUAUCAGGUAAAAACACCAGCAUGUUGUUUGAGGUGCAUGCAUCGGUUGUAGCGAAGAUGUGCAUAUGACAAUACAUUGCUAACCAUGGAGCACCGCAAGGAUUUAGAAUAUGUACCGCAACUUAGAGACUUGACACAUUGCCACUUGCUCCUACCACCAUGCAAGUGGGCGAUGCUUUAGUGUUGAACUAUUGAUUAAUCCCUCUUUUUUCUUUAAUCUAUGUGAUGGUGCCCCUUAUCAUAAAUAAUUGUUAUGUGGAUUCAAUAUAAAGGAUGUUUUAAACAUGUUUGAUAGUUAUAAAAACAAAUGUCAUUGACGAUACAUAUUGCUAUUAUGGAGACGUUUUGAACUAUUGUUCAACUGCUAUUCAAUGUUUGAUGCCCCUUCAUUAUUUUUUUAUACAAAAG